rnacentral:rRNA from 1 species
UUUUGAGAGUUUGAUCCUGGCUCAGGAUGAACGCUGGCGGCGUGGAUAAGGCAUGCAAGUCGAAUGUGUGUCUCACUUUGUUCGACACAAUCACAUUAACAUCUAAACAUGUUAACAUAUUAGCAAAAAUUCAAAUUAUUCAAAUGUUAAAAUGCUAAAAUGUUUUAAUGAUGUGGCGAGUGAAGCGAGACAUACAUGGCAAACGGGUUAGUAAUGCAUAGGAACGUGCCUCUAAGUCACGAAUAAUCCUUCGAAAGAAGGGAUAAUACGUGAUAAGCUUUACGAAGUAAAGCUGUAAGUAGCACUUGGAAUUUUAAAGGCUAAAUUUUAAAUUCUAAAUGAAAUCUAAAUUAUUAAAUUUUAAAAAUUUAUUAAUUAAUUCAUUGGAAAUUGAUUUAAAAUUUAUAACUUAAAAUUUAGAAUUUCAAGCGCUGUUUACAGCGCUUAGAGAGCGGCCUGUGUCCUAUCAGCUAGUUGGUAGUGUAAUGGACUACCAAGGCUAUGACGGGUAGGGGGUGUGAGAGCACGAUCCCCAACAUUGGGACUGAGACACUGCCCAAACUCCUACGGGAG